UACGGAAGGCAGCAGUGGGGAAUAUUGCACAAUGGGCGCAAGCCUGAUGCAGCCAUGCCGCGUGUAUGAAAAAGGCCUUCGGGUUGUAAAGUACUUUCAGUCGUGAGGAAGGUGUUAAGGUUAAUAACCUUAGCAAUUGACGUUAGCGACAGAAGAAGCACCGGCUAACUCCGUGCCAGCAGCCGCGGUAAUACGGAGGGUGCGAGCGUUAAUCGGAAUUACUGGGCGUAAAGGGCACGCAGGCGGCUAAUUAAGUUGGAUGUGAAAUCCCCCGGGCUUAACCUGGGAAUGGCAUUCAAGACUGGUUAGCUAGAGUCUUGUAGAGGGGGUAGAAUUCCAUGUGUAGCGGUGAAAUGCGUAGAGAUGUGGAGGAAUACCGGUGGCGAAGGCGGCCCCUGGACAAAGACUGACGCUCAUGUGCGAAAGCGUGGGGAGCAAAC
rnacentral:rRNA from 1 species